rnacentral:misc_RNA from 1 species
GGGAUUUCAAAGCCUCCAACAUCUUGUUAGACUCGGAUUAUACACCUAAACUUUCAGAUUUUGGGCUAGCAAAGGAUGGUCCUGAAGGAUCUGAUACGCAUGUUUCCACCCGAGUUAUGGGAACGCAAGGCUAUGCUGCUCCUGAAUAUAUCAUGACAGGUCACUUGACGGCAAUGAGCGAUGUGUAUAGUUUUGGAGUAGUGCUCCUGGAGCUUCUUACCGGGAGAAGGUCUGUGGACAAGAGCCGCCCUCAAAGAGAACAGAACCUGGCAGAGUGGGCAAGACCCAUGUUGAAUGAAGCUCGUAAACUUGGGAGGAUAAUG